GACGAACGCUGGCGGCGUGCUUAACACAUGCAAGUCGAACGGAAAGGCCCCUUCGGGGGUACUCGAGUGGCGAACGGGUGAGUAACACGUGAGUAACCUGCCCUUGACUUCGGGAUAACUUCAGGAAACUGGGGCUAAUACCGGAUAGGAAUCCUUGCUGCAUGGUGGGGGUUGGAAAGCUUCGGCGGUUUUGGAUGGACUCGCGGCUUAUAAGCUUGUUGGUGGGGUAGUGGCUUACCAAGGCUUUGACGGGUAGCCGGCCUGAGAGGGCGACCGGCCACAUUGGGACUGAGAUACGGCCCAGACUCCUACGGGAGGCAGCAGUGGGGAAUAUUGCACAAUGGGCGGAAGCCUGAUGCAGCACCGCCGCGUGCGGGAUGACGGCCUUCGGGUUGUAAACCGCUUUCAGCAGGGGCGAAGCUUGUGGUGACGGUACCUGCAGAAGAAGCACCGGCUAACUACGUG
rnacentral:rRNA from 1 species